CCUUGUCCUCCCUAUUCCCGCCUCCUUUCCCUCCCGAGGCCUCUGACAUUUACAGUAACCUUUCCAGUUUCUGAAGAUACAGUUACAGCGCCGAGCACCAUCGCCUUUACCAGGAAAGGUUAGACGGUCACCACCUUGCUCAAAACUACUUGCAUCCCCUGUCGUUGCCUGCUAUUCUCGUCUCGGACUGGCGGGCGCUUCUCGCUGACUCGGAACCCAACGCUUUGGGGCAGGAGCGGCGGGGGUACCCACCCACAGGAAUGACUACGUACUCAGAGAGGUUGUUGUGAGGAUUAAAUAAAACAACUUACUUGCCCAUCUAUAAAUACUGUUGAAGGAAUGUGUUUCUGGAUAUUGUUCACAACAUGUACUGAGAAGGCAAUGAAAGAACAGGAAAAGGAAGAUUUGGGGACUAUGAGGUAAAUGGUGUUAGGGUGGAGGGACCUUGCUUCCCUUACUUAAUACGGGAUAUCCUUGGAGCAGGGAUGACUUGUCAGAGAAACAUCUUUGGGUCACUUUUUAAUAUGCCAUAACUUUCAUGUUACAAAAAAGUCCUUUAAUUAUGAUGGGCUUAAAUGAUGGUUCUUCCCUUGUUUGUACUGUCCAAUUCUGAAUGAUCAUGAAACAGCAGUAUGAAUAAAUUGUCCUUUUCCAUCCAGCAGUGUACGAUCUUUUGGGGGAGGAGAUAAGACACAAGAAAUACAUACACAUAAAAAGAACUGAGUUAGAAAAAGUGCUGAGUUCAGAGAAGGGAGAUAACACUCUGUACUAGGGAAGGAAGAGGUAGAACUUGAAUUGUGUCUUGAAGAGUGGAUAGCAUGUGAAAAGAGAAGAGGGAGCCUACUUUCAGGUGAGGGGAACAGAGGGGAGCGGUAAGGAAGAGGAAUGGACAGGACUAUUUUUUUAGAGCUGGGUACUUAGCCACUUAACAGUCUUUGUUACACAAAAUAUUUAAAUCAAGUUGUUCAGGAGCUUCUCUUUCUCUCAAGAGAGAAUGUUCUUGCUAAAGGUAAAGUCUUUUUUCCUUUUUUAACCAAAUCAAAUGACCACAGAGCAUUGAAGACUAAAAAGGAAAACAUUCUCCCUUUUCACAAUAAUGUUUCCUUUGGUAAACAAGGUUAUAUAGGGAAGAGUGAUAUGUUGUCUUGGGAAGAGUGAUUCUUUAAAUAUUUAUCCAGCACCUACUAGGUUCUGGGCCCUGUUCAAAGCUUUCUCAGCAGCGAACAAAACAAAGUUUCUGUUCUCACAGAGCUUAUCUUUUAGUGGAGGGAGAUAAAUGAUAAAUAAAUACAUGUCAGGUGAAGGUAAGUACUCUGAAGAAAAAUAAAACAUGGUAAAGGAAGACAGCGCUAGAAGGUAGGCUGCUUUUUUUGGUGAGGUGAUUAGGAAGGCCUCUCUGAUAAACUUCAUUUGGAGACUGAGUGAAGUGAGGGAGUGAACCACGCAGAUAUCUGUGCAAAGACUUCCAGGCAGAGGAAGAGUUAAAUGUAAAGAAUAAACAUAGCUAAUCAUUUAACACUGGAAAAUUAUGUUCCAAAUAAACAUAGUAUAAACUUUGUACAACAACAACAAAAAACCAAACCCAUUGCUGCUGAGUCAAUUCCAGCUCAUACAAAGGACCCCAAAAUGCUAUGAAAUUUUACAUAUACCAAACUUGUUGCCAUCGAGUCGAUUUCAACUCUUAGAGACCCAAUAGGACAGAGGAGAACUGCCCCACAGAGUUUCCAAGGAGCGCCUGGUGGAUUCGAACUGCCAACUUUUUGGUUAGCAGCUGUAGCUGUUAACCACUGUGCCACCAGGGCUCCAAUUAUAAAUUUAUCUUGGAUAGUGAGAAUGGUACAAUAAGCAUUGCUCAAAUACUUAAAUCAAUAAAUUUUUUGUACUCUUGGACUUUAGAAGAGCUUUCAGGAGAAUGCUUUGAGUGGGCUACAUCUCUAAGAACAGUUACGCUGAAAAGUUUGGGCUGAUCCAUUCUUUCUCGCCCCCUAAAUUCCUCUGAAGUCCACACAGACAGUCAUUCUGUUGACUUUGAGCUGUCUUGAGAGUUGGGAUUCACCUUUUAAAAAUGGCUACGGAGCAUCUUUAGUAAAUAUUUGAGGGUUCUUCAAAGUCUUCAGAGUCCCUAGAUGGUGCAAAUGGUUAACAUGUUUG